GGCGGCAUGCCUUACACAUGCAAGUCGAACGGCAGCACGGGGGCAACCCUGGUGGCGAGUGGCGAACGGGUGAGUAACACAUCGGAACGUGUCCUGUAGUGGGGGAUAGCCCGGCGAAAGCCGGAUUAAUACCGCAUACGACCUGAGGGAGAAAGCGGGGGAUCUUCGGACCUCGCGCUAGAGGGGCGGCCGAUGGCAGAUUAGCUAGUUGGUGGGGUAAAGGCCUACCAAGGCGACGAUCUGUAGCUGGUCUGAGAGGACGACCAGCCACACUGGGACUGAGACACGGCCCAGACUCCUACGGGAGGCAGCAGUGGGGAAUUUUGGACAAUGGGGGAAACCCUGAUCCAGCAAUGCCGCGUGUGUGAAGAANGCCUUCGGGUUGUAAAGCACUUUUGUCCGGAAAGAAAACUUUCGCCCUAAUACGGUGGGAGGCUGACGGUACCGGAAGAAUAAGCACCGGCUAACUACGUGCC
rnacentral:rRNA from 1 species